AGGGGCGUAUCAACGACAACCACGCCCUUAUAAAAGACGUGACGUAACUCCAUCCCAGAAGUUUGACGAUGUCCACCAUUGCUUUGACUUGAUAAUGAUCCGAAGGAAUGGUACGUGUGAAAUAUUCAAAUCGCUGUUUGUUGGAUAAUUCUGGACUUGUUGAGAAAAAUGACACCUGAAACAAAAUUUAAAAAAAAACGAGUUAGUAAAAUUAAGAGCUAUUAAAAUGGCGGAUUGUGAGCUAUUCAACAUUUUAUUAAAACUAAUUCGAUGAUGUAAAUUAAUCAAAAUGUAUCGUCGCAUGAGA